rnacentral:rRNA from 1 species
UACGGAGGAUGCGAGCGUUAUCCGGAUUUAUUGGGUUUAAAGGGUGCGUAGGCGGACGCUUAAGUCAGCGGUAAAAUUGCGGGGCUCAACCUCGUCGAGCCGUUGAAACUGGGUGCCUUGAGUGGGCGAGAAGUACGCGGAAUGCGUGGUGUAGCGGUGAAAUGCAUAGAUAUCACGCAGAACUCCGAUUGCGAAGGUAGCAUACCGGCGCCCUACUGACGCUGAAGCACGAAAGCGUGGGUAUCGAACAGG